rnacentral:rRNA from 1 species
UACGAAGGGGGCUAGCGUUGCUCGGAAUCACUGGGCGUAAAGGGUGCGUAGGCGGGUCUUUAAGUCAGGGGUGAAAUCCUGGAGCUCAACUCCAGAACUGCCUUUGAUACUGAAGAUCUUGAGUUCGGGAGAGGUGAGUGGAACUGCGAGUGUAGAGGUGAAAUUCGUAGAUAUUCGCAAGAACACCAGUGGCGAAGGCGGCUCACUGGCCCGGUACUGACGCUGAGGCACGAAAGCGUGG